GGGGAUGUGGCUCAAGUGGUAGAGCACUUGCCUAGCAGGCAUGAGGCACUGGGUUCGAUUCUCAGCACCUCA
rnacentral:tRNA from 1 species